GCGAGCCUGGAUCUCAGUGAGAGAGUGAGAGAGAAAGGCUAUCCUGUCUGUAUGCCCAGGCUGAGCACUCACACGCAGAGGGAUGAUGAGGCUAGGCUGGGUUCGAGGGCUGGCCCCUUUGCUGGCCAUGGCUGCUGGAAUACUCUACAUCACAUCCAUUAAGUGGGAGGUUCAUUCUCAUGGGGAGAGACUGCAGGGGGCCCAUCAGAAUGAAUCGGCCAGGGGCCAGGACAUUCUCAAGAGGCUGGAGAAGAUGGAGGCUCACAUCGAGAAGCUGGUGAAGUCAAUCAACAAUGGGAUCAGUCUGAAAGAGGGGCAGGCUGUGAAGGCUCCCGAGGUCAAGAAGGAGAGGAAGGUGGUGAAGAAGUUGUACCCCAACUCAGCUCUGUUUACAAGCUGGGGUGAUGAGCUCUCAGAGGAGGAGCAGAAAGAGGCAGAGGGGCUGUUUCAGAUGUAUGGAUACAACGCCUUCCUGAGUGACAGACUACCCCUGAACAGGGAAAUCCCUGAUACUCGCGAUCCUAAGUGUGCUAAGCACCAGUAUCCCCAUGACCUGCCCACCAUCAGCGUGGUAUUGAUCUACUUGGACGAGGCCCUGUCAAUCAUCAAGAGAGCUGUCCGCAGCAUCAUAGACAAGACCCCCCAACGCCUGCUCAAAGACAUUAUACUGGUGGAUGACCACAGCUCCAAUGGUUUGCCUAAUUGGUCUCUUCUCACCUCUUAGAAACAUGUCAAGAGGAUCUAAAGGAGAAGUUGGAUGCCUACAUCAGCUUCAUCCAUGAAGAGCGUCCAGGCCUGGUGAAGAGAGUGAGACACAAAGAGCAGCUCGGUCUCACACAGGCCCGCCUCUCAGGGUGGAGGGAAGCUACAGGAGAUGUGGUGGCCAUCUUGGACGCCCACAUAGAGGUCCAUGUGGAAUGGGCGGAGCCUCUGUUAGCUCGGAUAAAGGAGGACCGCACGUUGGUGUUGACACCGGUGUUUGACAACGUCCAUUUCGAUGACUUGACAGUCACACGUUAUGGGCCUGCUGCAGACACCUUUGACUGGGCCCUGUGGUGUAUGUACGAGCCCUUCAAACCUGAGUGGUAUGCCUUGAAAGACGAGUCACAGCCAGGAAAGAGCCCCUCCAUUAUGGGCAUACUAGUGGUUGAUCGCCUGUUCUUUGGGGAAAUUGGUGCUCUGGAUGGUGGUAUGAAGAUCUAUGGAGGGGAAAAUGUUGAACUGGGUAUCCGGGUAAGCCCAUCUGCUGCAGUUUCUAAAUGAAUGUUUGAAAUCAAAGCAGACUUGUGUUUGCAGAAUUACUUUUUGUUCUUGAGUCAUUAAUUUUGAACAAACCAAUCUACGUCCAACAUCCAGACACUUUCAGUCCAAACUCUUCCUUCUCUCUUGGUGUUUGAUGUGUCGAGGUGUGGCUAUGUGGUGGAAGUGUCGAGGUCAUACCUUGUUCUAAAAUAGCCCACAUCGAGAGGGCCCAUAAACCCUAUCUCCCUGACCUGAGCAUUACAAUGAAGAGGAAUGCUCUGAGAGUGGCUGAGGUCUGGAUGGAUGACUACAAACAUAAUGUCAACAUUGCCUGGAAUAUCCCACUGAAGGAUCACGGCAUAGACAUUGGAGAUGUUUCAGAGAGGAAGAAGUUGAGAAAGAGUCUGAACUGCAAACCCUUCCAGUGGUAUCUGGAUAACGUGUAUCCCAUGUUAGACCCCCUGGGUGACUUGCUUGGUUAUGGAGCUCUGGUCAAUGACCAGAAGAUGGAUCUCUGUAUAGAUCAAGGCCCAUUUCCAGGGAACACACCUAUUUUAUAUGGAUGCCAUUAUUAUGGUCCUCAGAACUGUUAUUAUCGAGCCAGUAGGGAGAUCUACAUUGGAGGCAUUAGGUCUCAUAAGUACGACAGUAAUCGCUGUCUGGUGGACACUGGCACUCGAACCCCAGGACUGUAUGAGUGCAAGGUGGCCAAGCAGAAGGGAUUCCACAUGCUCUGGGACUUCCAACAGGGAAAAGCCAUCCAGAACAGACAGACAAAGAGAUGUCUGGAGAUUGCCCCAGGGGAGGACACCUACUACCAGCUCAUCAUUCAGGAGUGUAGUGGGCAGCACUGGAACAUACAGAAUCUGAUUAAAGACUUCUGAUACACUGAGAUAGUUAGGCCUACUGUACCAGAGACAAUACAGCGGGCCUAUAGGAGUUAUUAUCAACUGGUAAUUACCACCUUCCCACUUUGUUAUGAACACAUCAUUAUCAUCAUGCUUUGAAAAGCUGGUGGUCAGCAGUGGUCAGCAGUGAGAUGACUGUGUAAUCUUAAUGAGCUGUUGGUUGUACAUAGCUUCAUGGGGACAUUCCUCACAUAAUGUGAAAUGCUAUUGAGCUGUGUUCUCCUUGGUCCUGAAUGUAAAUGCAAACAAAGAAUAAACACGAUUCCUGUAU